GGAGCUGGAGAAACUGAAAAGACAGUUAGAGUAUUUAAAUCAAGAUUGUCAAGCUGUUGGGGAAACAUUACGAGAGUUUGAACAGAAACAGCUGGAAUGCCCUGACCACUUAGUGCCUAGCUCUUCCACCAUACAGUCAAUAGCCGGAUGCAGC
rnacentral:sRNA from 1 species